rnacentral:rRNA from 1 species
ACUCUGUUGUUGGAGAAGAAGGAUAGAGGUAGCAACUGGCCUUUAUUUGACGGUAAUCAACCAGAAAGUCACGGCUAACUACGUGCCAGCAGCCGCGGUAAUACGUAGGCGGCAAGCGUUGUCCGGAUUUAUUGGGCGUAAAGCGAGCGCAGGCGGAAAAAUAAGUCUAAUGUGAAAGCCCUCGGCUUAACCGAGGAACUGCAUCGGAAACUGUUUUUCUUGAGUGCAGAAGAGGAGAGUGGAACUCCAUGUGNAGCGGUGGAAUGCGUAGAUAUAUGGAAGAACACCAGUGGCGAAGGCGGCUCUCUGGUCUGCAACUGACGCUGANGCUCGAAAGCAUGGGUAGC